AGUGAACGCUGGCGGUAGGCCUAACACAUGCAAGUCGAACGGCAGCACAGUAAGAGCUUGUUCUUACGGGUGGCGAGUGGCGGACGGGUGAGGAAUACAUCGGAAUCUACUUGUUCGUGGGGGAUAACGUAGGGACACUUACGCUAAUACCGCAUACGACCUACGGGUGAAAGCAGGGGAUCUUCGGCCCUUGCGCGAUUGAAUGAGCCGAUGUCGGAUUAGCUAGUUGGCGGGGUAAAGGCCCACCAAGGCGACGAUCCGUAGCUGGUCUGAGAGGAUGAUCAGCCACACUGGAACUGAGACACGGUCCAGACUCCUACGGGAGGCAGCAGUGGGGAAUAUUGGACAAUGGGCGCAAGCCUGAUCCAGCCAUACCGCGUGGGUGAAGAAGGCCUUCGGGUUGUAAAGCCCUUUUGUUGGGAAAGAAAAGCAGCAGGUUAAUACCCCGCUGUUCUGACGGUACCAAAAGAAUAAGCACCGGCUAACUUCGUG
rnacentral:rRNA from 1 species